ACACAUACAUUCAUCCAUGCAUUAAUACUUAAUAUAUCAACAUAUAAUUCAGAUAUUUCAUAUAAUAUAUGCUUUAGCACCAGGGAAGACAAAUAUCACGAAGGCACAUGCAAACAUAUCCACAAUCUCAAUAUUGCCAGUUCAUGUUAUUUGUUUUAUUCUCUCAUAAUAUAUACACAUUACCAGCAAAAAAGAUACAACUACUUAUUAAUUCUUUAUCAGUUUGCUUUUACUGCAAAAGGGUAAAAGGAUAGUUUAAGAAAAGAACAGAAAACAGUAAUUCUAUUAAACCAGAUCAAGCAAUAUUUAGUUCCAGUAAAUCUCCAAGUCAUAAAAAAAAGUUCAAACAAUACAAGCUUGCCAGUAUCAAAGGAAUAUCAAGAUGCAUGUCUGUUUAUAUGUAUUCGUGAAGAGGAGAUUGCUUGAAAAUGAGUUUCUUCAAAAGAGAAUAUUAGUAUGAGAACAAACAAUUUCUUACAACAUGUGUUUUGCCAACAAGUUCAAAAUGGUUGUCAUUAUCUUGAAAAAAAUGAUAAUUUAAUUUUCACACUUUUAAACACAGUAUUUACUGGAAUAGAUUUCCUGUAUAUUUACAUGAAGAAAGAUUUGCAUCAAAUUGACUUGAGAUCGCCAUUUUAUCCAUUGUCAUCCUGAAGAUUUAUCUUGUACAGAUAGAUCUAUAUCUUUAUUUUGGGAAUGGCAUGGAGUUUGAAUUUGAGUAAUGCUAGGGUACUAAAACUUUUGAAAAAAAAUGUAUUACUUCAUGAUGUGGUGUUUUUUGAUAGGGAAAGUUUUUUCAAAUUAUGAAAUGUAUGUCUUAUCACAUACAAUGACACAAUCACAAUUAUAGGAUGAAGUAAUUAAUAAAAGCCCAAUCACAAGCUGUCAUGCAAUUUAAAAAAAAUAAAUU